GGGGAUUUAGCUCAGCGGUAUAAGCACCUGCCUUGCAAGCAGGUGGUCGUGAGUAUAAUCCCCA
rnacentral:tRNA from 1 species